CUCAACACACCUACAGCAGGAAAUAAAAUCAGAUCAAAAGACUCCCGAAGAAAGACAGAGGAAAGAUGAAAGCCGUAUGUUUUUCUCUCCUUCUCCUGCUGCUGGCAUGUAGCUUUGGAGAGGGCCUGAAAUGCAACCGUUGUAUUGGCAAAGGCUGCAGAAACACAGUGGAGACCCCGUAUUGACCAU